GGUCGCUUGUUGGUCAGAGUUUUGACAGAAAAGCGCCUCUGCUCUCUGGACUCCAGAAGGGGGACUGACCUUCCCUCUGUUAGGAUGCCUCAGGCCUUUUCUUGCCAGGGGGCCGGGGAGAAAGAGGUUUCUUUUGGGGGGAAGAUGCCAGAAUACGGCCUAAAAGAACAAUGAGAUCCCAGCACAGCCCCGCCCCGAGCUCUGCUGCCUGUCUCCUGCAGUGGAUCGCCCACGUUCCAGCAGCCGCGUUCACCGUGUGACAGGUUGGGAAGCACUGUCACACCAGCUUCAACACCCCUGUGAGCCCGAGCUGGGGGAGGAGAGUCACCCCACAGAUCCGACGAGGAAAGCCAGACUCAGAGAAGGCGAGGCCUUGCCCAUGUACCAGCAGCCGCUCCUGGAGUCCAGGGUGGCCAGACUGGAGGGUCUUGUCUGGUCCUGUGAGUCCAGGCCUCCACCGAUACUGGAAAACGAGCUCGGACUUCGGAGAGGCGUGUAGUCUACUAUCUACUGCUUGCUGAAUGGCCUCACCCCUGCAAUCCUUAGUUUCCUCGUCUGAAUAACAGAGGUACGCGCUUAACAGAAUGCCUGGCCCACAGUAACCGGUUGUUCAACACAUUGGAGACACUACAUUUGUUUGUGUUUAGAGUUGCUGGGCUGACCAUGGUUAAGAGCUUGAAGUCUGGAUUCGGAUUCCCUGGGUUAAAAUCCUGGAACUACUUCUUAUUAGCACAGGAAGGCGUUCCCAUGGCAACCUCCUGGCGACACAAAACAGCCAUUCCUCCCAGAAUGGGCAGCCUUCUUCCAGUCUCCUGGAGAAGCCACCAGCAGUGGAGCCCCGCAGAGCCCUUAGCACUCUGGACAGAAGACCACAGUCCGCGGGCAGCCGCCUCUCUAACUGGCCCGUCCCAGGGCUUCGCUCUGGAGGAUGCGGCUGGAUGGGAGUUUAUUCACUUUAAUGUAUAUUUAUCGAGGGCCUGUGAUAGCACACAAGUGCUGGCUGGGGACCCAGCAAUGGAGAAGACAGAUAGAGCUUGCCCUCAGGGCCUAAAAUUCUAGUUGGCUUCUAUUCAAGAAAAGGGAAAAGGAACAAAACCAUUUCAGCCAGUGCCAAGCUCUGAGAAGGGAGUGAAACAGGGCCACACAGAGAGGGAGACUGAGGAGGGGCCAGGAGUCCCUUGUGGAGAUGCCGUCUGCGGUGAGCCCCAAAUGCACAGAGGAACCCAGGCACCCAAGACCCUGGGGGGCGUGCGUCCAGGCAGAGGGGACAGUGAGUGCAAAGGUCCUAAGGCAGGAAGGAGCUUGAGUGUUUGAAGAACAGGCAGAGGCUGGAAGGGCUGCAGUGUGGCACCAGUGAGGGUCUGUGAGCUGAGCUCAGGGGUUGGGACUUUAUUUUAACUGUGAUGGGCAGCCAUUUGGGGGGUUUUAAGCAGGGUAGAGGCAUGGUCCGAUCCAAGUUUUUAAGCUAUUUUUUGGAUUGCUUUGGGGC